rnacentral:rRNA from 1 species
UACGAAGGGGGCGAGCGUUGUUCGGAAUUACUGGGCGUAAAGCGCGCGCAGGCGGUCUUCCAAGUCAGUGGUGAAAGCCUGGAGCUCAACUCCAGAACUGCCAUUGAAACUGUUAGACUUGAGUACGAGAGAGGUGAGUGGAAUUCCCAGUGUAGAGGUGAAAUUCGUAGAUAUUGGGAAGAACACCGGUGGCGAAGGCGGCUCACUGGCUCGUAACUGACGCUCAGGCGCGACAGCGUGGGGGAUCAAACAGG